UGGCGACGGGUGAGUAACGCGUGGGUAACCUGCCCUAUACAGGGGGAUAACAGUUAGAAAUGACUGCUAAUACCGCAUAAGCGCACAGGACCGCAUGGUUCGGUGUGAAAAACUGAGGUGGUAUAGGAUGGACCCGCGUCUGAUUAGCUUGUUGGUGGGGUAACGGCUCACCAAGGCGACGAUCAGUAGCCGGCCUGAGAGGGCGACCGGCCACACUGGGACUGAGACACGGCCCAGACUCCUACGGGAGGCAGCAG
rnacentral:rRNA from 1 species